GAUGAACGCUGGCGGCGUGCUUAACACAUGCAAGUCGAACGAGCUUUAUUACUACGAUCCCUUCGGGGUGACGGUUUUAAAGCGAGUGGCGGACGGGUGAGUAACGCGUGGAUAACCUGCCAUAUACUGGGGGAUAACAGUUGGAAACGACUGCUAAUACCGCAUAAAGUCAUUUAGAGGCAUCUCUGAAUGACCAAAGAUUUAUUGCUGAAAGAUGGUCUCGCGUCUGAUUAGCUAGUAGGCGGGGUAACGGCCCACCUAGGCGACGAUCAGUAGCCGGUCUGAGAGGAUGAACGGCCACAUUGGGACUGAGAUACGGCCCAGACUCCUACGGGAGGCAGCAGUGGGGAAUAUUGGGCAAUGGGCGCAAGCCUGACCCAGCAACGCCGCGUGAAGGAAGAAGGCUUUCGGGUUGUAAACUUCUUUUGUCAGGGACGAGUAGAAGACGGUACCUGACGAAUAAGCCACGGCUAACUACGUG
rnacentral:rRNA from 1 species